GACGCGGCGUGCGAUGUAGACUCUAAUCCUAACUUUCUGGCGCUUGAGGAAUGCGACGUUAUGGGAACUGGCCAGCCCAUAAUUUAGCCCUCUUGAGUUGUUGUUAGAGAAUUGUCUGCAGGCGUACGAUGUCUGUCAAGGUAGUCUUGAUGCCGAGGCGCCGGUCAAUUUCUACCACGAAAUUCCGCAUUCUCAGGAAGUUCCAGUGUGUUUCCAGUUUGUCCCAUUACGAAAUAGAACAUUUUGAUCAAGGAUAUUAAUCGUAAUAACAGAUGGGGUCGAAAAAAAGGCGUCAAGAUACCGUUAUAUCAAAGUUAAAUGCAGUUGGAUAAUUUCUUGCCAGUAAAAUAAUAUGGUUUUUGCUCUCGAACGGCAUAUCUAAGGUCACGUUGCUCCAAUUUUUCGAUAAUAAGGAAGUUCGUUGGAAAAUCAAUCACCGCAACCGGCUUUUCUUCUCCUAACCUUAAAUCAGAGUUCAAAAAUAUAACAAAAAUAUCAGAUAUACAAGAGAAAUACAGAUAACAAGAAACGUUUAAUAACUAUAUUGAUAAUUUAGAAUUGAAAAUACGUAACCUGCGUAGAAAUAUGUGACGUUCAGCAGCGAUAAUGGGUAAAGUUAUUGAAAGCAAUCAUAAAGAAGUCAACAAACAUGUUCUAUGAAGCUAAUAAAGGAUGCUCUCCUGUAUGAUCUCACCCUAUAACCAGAGAUAAAUACGGUAUUCACUUAUGAAGUAGGAAACAGGAUAAACUAAUAGCUUAUUGAUAAAACAAAACAGAUGUAAUGGAAUGUAAAAACAUGAAGUUAUUAUUUGUGUAUGUGUUUUUUGCUGGAAUAUCUUUUGCAAUUCGCGUGGAAUUCAAGCUUGGAAUGGCAACAGCAGCUUAUCAAAUUGAGGGUGGAUACAACUGUGACGACACAGCAUUAUUUAUGCAGCAAAAAAUGAUCAUGACUGGGCGACAUUUUUCGUUGUGGAAAUUUCUUUUACGAUUUUUCUGAUUUUCUGGUAGAAAAAGUGAUUUUUCUGUGCACUAUUUGAGCUUAUUCUGUCCCUUAAGGCCUGUUUAAUCUACUGGAAACUAAUAAAUCAGUGUGUCAAUAAUAUCACACAAGAGAAUGGUGUCUUUCUGUAUCCUUUCCCAGAAGAGGAGACCUGGAUCAUCCUCUAACUUUGAUGUUCGGCCAUCAAUGACCUGCAUAGCAAGUACAGGUACCCGAGACAGUUACUACCCUCCAUGUCUAAAAGCUGGCGGAGGCUGAGGGUUUAUCUUUGACCAUAGGUUAAAUUAGCUGGGGGGCAGGAAGGUAAAACAUCAAAAAUCACAUCAGGAGACGAAGAUUUAUCAGAGGAGGUUUAUAUAAAGGCUAAGUUAUAUCUUCAACUACUGCAGUAGAAGAAAUUCAAAAUCUGUUAAUAAUACCACACAAGAGAGAACGGUGUCUUUCUGCAUCCUUCCACAAGAGGGCACCUGGAUCAUUCUCUGACUCUGAUGUUUGGCGAUUGGGGACCUGCAUAGCAUAUAUGGGUACCCAAGGAAGUUACCACCUUCUAUGUCUAUUAGCCGGGUGAUGCUUAAUCUUUGACCGAGGCAGAUGAAUAUGCAUCAGGAGACAAAGAUUUAUGAUAAAUGGAGGAUAGCAUGACAUAGUUUAGCUCAAUCUUGUAUUUCUAAACACUAGAUUACAAGGAAUUAAAAGAAUACGUCAGGUUUGCGUCAGUUCAUUUACAAGUAUAUUGAAAAAAGUAUUGACAGUGACAAGAGUAUUGAAAAAAGUAUUUGCUAAACUUUAAUAGUAAAGUGUUU